GGGCACGACACCGGAGAGGGAGCCUGAGAAACGGCUACCACAUCCAAGGAUGGCAGCAGGCGCGCAAAUUACCCAAUCCCGACACGGGGAGGUAGUGACAAUAAAUAACAAUACGGGGUUCUUUAGGAUCUCGUAAUUGGUAUGAGUACAAUUUAAAUCUCUUAACGAGGAACAAUUGGAGGGCAAGUCUGGUGCCAGCAGCCGCGGUAAUUCCAGCUCCAAUAGCGUAUAUUAAAGUUGUUGCAGUUAAAAAGCUCGUAGUUGAAUUUCGGGGUUAGUAGGUUGGUCAUGCCUCUGGUAUGUACUGGUCUCACUGAUUCCUCCUUCCUUAUGAACCGUAAUGCCACUAAUUUGGUGUUGCGGGGAAUUUGGACUGUUACUUUGAAAAAAUUAGAGUGUUUAAAGCAAGCUAACGCUUGAAUACAUUAGCAUGGAAUAAUGAAAUAGGACGUUCGAUCUUAUUUUGUUGGUUUCUAGGAUUGACGUAAUGAUUAAUAGGGAUAGUUGGGGGCAUUAGUAUUCAAUUGUCAGAGGUGAAAUUCUUGGAUUUAUUGAAGACUAACUACUGCGAAAGCAUUUGCCAAGGAUGUUUUCAUUAAUCAAGAACGAAAGUUA
rnacentral:rRNA from 1 species